GUCUACGGCCAUACCACCCUGAACGCGCCCGAUCUCGUCUGAUCUCGGAAGCUAAGCAGGGUCGGGUCUGGUUAGUACUUGGAUGAGAGAAUGCACAAAUAAUCACUAACA
rnacentral:rRNA from 1 species